ACUCAAAUGAAUUGACGGGGGCCUGCACAAGCGGUGGAGUAUGUGGCUUAAUUCGAUGCAACGCGAAGAACCUUACCUGGCCUUGACAUGCAUUUGGUAGAACCAUGAAAGUGGGACGACCCCGCAAGGGGAGGAUGCACAGGUGCUGCAUGGCUGUCGUCAGCUCGUGUCGUGAGAUGUUGGGUUAAGUCCCGCAACGAGCGCAACCCUUAUGUCCUGUUGCCACUCAAACGAGAGUUUGGAGCACUCUGGACAGACUGCCUCGCUUAAACGGGGAGGAAGGUGGGGAUGACGUCAAGUCAGUAUGGCCCUUACGGCCAGGGCUGCACACGUACUACAAUGCCCGGCACAGAGGGAAGCAAGACCGUCAGGUGGAGCAAAUCCCAAAAAACCGGGCCCAGUUCGGAUUGUCGUCUGCAACUCGACGGCAUGAAGUUGGAAUCGCUAGUAAUGGCGCAUCAGCUACGGCGCCGUGAAUACGUUCCCAGGCCUUGUACACACCGCCCGU
rnacentral:rRNA from 1 species